UCAUUAUCAUAACCUCCAAACAGAUAGCCGUUUAUUCCCGUCUUUUCUACGCGUAAUCCACCUUUUUUGAGGAUUUGAUGGCAGAACAUGGAUUGAAGUUAAAGGACAUUAUGAUAGAGAUAGUAAAAUGUGCUCGAGUUGAAAGCCAGAAAAGAAAGAAGUUUGAGGUAAAAGGAAUGUAUCAAUGCGUAAAUCGCAAGAAACGAAUAAAAACUGUGUAAACUUAAGUUAUUCACUAAUCACUGUACUUACAUCUAAAGCGCCUAUGCUUUAUAAACUGUUACUUGAAGCACAAAAUUGAAUAACUUAGCUUAGUAAAAACCUAGUAAUCAGUCUUGCACCUAAAA